ACGGGAGGCAGCAGUGGGGGAUAUUGCACAAUGGGGGAAACCCUGAUGCAGCGACGCCGCGUGAGUGAUGAAGUAUUUCGGUAUGUAAAGCUCUAUCAGCAGGGAAGAAAAUGACGGUACCUGACUAAGAAGCUCCGGCUAAAUACGUGCCAGCAGCCGCGGUAAUACGUAUGGAGCAAGCGUUAUCCGGAUUUACUGGGUGUAAAGGGAGCGUAGACGGUGACGCAAGUCUGAAGUGAAAGGUGUGGGCUCAACCCGCAAACUGCUUUGGAAACUGUGUGACUAGAGUGUCGGAGAGGUAAGUGGAAUUCCUAGUGUAGCGGUGAAAUGCGUAGAUAUUAGGAGGAACACCAGUGGCGAAGGCGGCUUACUGGACGAUAACUGACGUUGAGGCUCGAAAGCGUGGGGAGCGAACAGGAUUAGAUACCCUGGUA
rnacentral:rRNA from 1 species